UCCAGAGGAAUUUUUCCUCUGCUUCUGAGCACAGGAGCAAGGCUAACUUGGGAGGUGAGAUACACAGCUUCCAAAACUUCGCUGCCAACCUGCCCGCAUUUGCGAGGCGAAUGAGACGACGACCGGCUCAUUGUACCCAAUGAUUACCAAGAGGUGCAAGGAGAAACAAUAGAAAACGAGGAGGUGGCUCGGCAAUCCAAGCUGUGUGGGUCACCUCGACUCCCACAAUGGAUGAACAGCUGCAAAAAAAACCCUGAUGGAGUUAGCAGAGAUGGCUAAAUCGACGGCUCUGGUUAAAGAAACAAAACAUAAGCACCUUUACUUCAUCUUGGAAACCACUUCUGGACUUUGUGCUGGAGGUGGAAAAAGUUGGGAAGUCGUCUCCCACCCAUCGGGACCCCAUGGACAAUGUUCCUCCAGGCCUUCCUGUCCUCUACCAUCCUCUGGAGUCCAUUUGCACCCGGAAGAGCAGCUUGCACAGUGUUUGGCUAUCCAGAGAACGGCGGCAAAGCGAUCGCAGCUGAUUUCAGCAAAGGUGAUGCAUUUAACAGCAUAGAAUAGUGAACUCUUAACGUAUCGCAUGAAUUCCUGUCUAUCCGUGCUACAUGAAAGGCCACUUUGAUCACCGAUCUCUUUCUGUAACGGAUCUUGUUUGUUAAAUAUUCCCAUUAUGGUCUUAUCUGUACCUCUCUUCACGACCACAUCUCAAAAAUCUUAAUUUUCCUUUUCACCUCCACGACUUUCAGAGAAAGAAAGCCUAUUCUUCUAUAUUUGGAUGGUAUUUUCUGAAAAUUUAUCUGGGUCCGUAUUUACCUCAGGUCUAAAAUUAACAGCUGAGACUGCUUUCUGUAGGACUUUUCCUAGUGGGAUGUGGGGAUUUUUUAAAAAACAGUUUUGUAUUUUAUAGACAAACAUACAUUUAAAACAUCAGCAAUUCCUUCUGUGUGACAUGUUGGUGUUUUCUUCUUGGCUCCGUCAUUUUGUUGUUUCUUCUUUCUUCACUCCAAUUUAAACUAUCACCAUUUUUUUUUUGUUUACAUUUAUAUCCCGCCCUUCUCCGAAGACUCAGGGUGGCUUACAGUGUGUAAGGCAAUAGUCUCAUUCUAUUUGUAUAUUUACAAAGUCAAUUUAUUGCCCCCCCAACAAUCUGGGUCCUCAUUUUACCUACCUUAUAAAGGAUGGAAGGCUGAGUCAACCUUGGACCUGGUGGGACUAGAACCUGCAGUAAUUGCAGGCAGCUGUGUUUUAAUAACAGGCUUCUUACAGCCUGAGCCACACCGCGGCCCUAUAUAUUGUGUAUUUUUCCACAAAUACACUAUUCUUUUUUUUUUUACAUAAUUACCCAUUGCUUAUCUGUACCUUUCUUCUAACUGAUGGUAAAAUUUAUCCCAUAUCUUAAAAUAUUCUGAAUAAUCUCUUUCUUUAAUCAUCAAAGAUAAUCUGUUCAUUUCUGCACAAUCUAAAAUUUUUCUAAUAAUUUCUCCUUCCAGGAGUAUUUUCUCUGCUUUCCAAUUUUGCGCAAAAACAAUUCUUGCCGCUGUAACGUAUAAUCAAAUAAAUAUUUUCUUUACUAAUUUUCUCUGGUAGGAACCCCAAU